rnacentral:rRNA from 1 species
UACAGAGGGUGCGAGCGUUAAUCGGAAUUACUGGGCGUAAAGCGUGCGUAGGCGGUUAUUUAAGUCGGGUGUGAAAGCCCCGGGCUCAACCUGGGAAUUGCAUUCGAGACUGAAUAGCUAGGGUACGGUAGAGGGAAGUGGAAUUUCCGGUGUAGCGGUGAAAUGCGUAGAUAUCAGGAGGAACACCGGUGGUGUAGACGGCUUUCUGGACCGUAACUGACGCUGAGACACGAAAGCGUGGGUAGCAAACAGG